GACGGAGGAUGCAAGCGUUAUCCGGAAUGAUUGGGCGUAAAGCGUCCGCAGGUGGCUGUUCAAGUCUGCUGUCAAAGCGCAGAGCUUAACUCUGUACAGGCGGUGGAAACUGAAGAGCUAGAGUAUGGUAGGGGUAGAGGGAAUUCCCGGUGUAGCGGUGAAAUGCGUAGAUAUCGGGAAGAACACCAGUGGCGAAAGCGCUCUACUGGGCCAUAACUGACACUGAGGGACGAAAGCUAGGGGAGCGAAUGGG
rnacentral:rRNA from 1 species